GGCUCAGAGCGAACGCUGGCGGCAGGCCUAACACAUGCAAGUCGAGCGGUAGCACAGAGAGCUUGCUCUCGGGUGACGAGCGGCGGACGGGUGAGUAAUGUCUGGGAAACUGCCUGAUGGAGGGGGAUAACUACUGGAAACGGUAGCUAAUACCGCAUAAUGUCGCAAGACCAAAGUGGGGGACCUUCGGGCCUCAUGCCAUCAGAUGUGCCCAGAUGGGAUUAGCUAGUAGGUGGGGUAACGGCUCACCUAGGCGACGAUCCCUAGCUGGUCUGAGAGGAUGACCAGCCACACUGGAACUGAGACACGGUCCAGACUCCUACGGGAGGCA
rnacentral:rRNA from 1 species